AUCUGCAACUCUCAGAAGUGCAGAGUUUGCCAAAGAGUUCUGCCACUGCUUCAAGAACUCUUACCCGGAUGUUGUUAAUGCUGCGCUGCUCGCCACUUCAAUUCUUCAAUGGUGGGCUCCACUGUUGCUGCCUAUAUUGCUUGGAAUAUUUGGAAUGACCAGAACCGGGGAGUUUUUCAGCAUAAGACAGCUUCGAUGUCAGCUGUCGCUGCCUUCAUCAGAGAAGAUAUCAGCCUCUUUGCUGAGGCCUGGGAGUAGUUCCUUUUCUAUUUUUUGUACUGCUUGCCUCGGCUGCUGUGGCCUCUUUCUUUCCCUCCUGUUUUCUUAGGCUGUGACCAAAGCCUACUUGUACAGUUUUCCCUCUACUAAAUGCAAAGGCAGAGCACCUGCCAUUUCUGGUAAAAAAGAAGAAGUGCAGAGUUGUGAGACCUGCCGACUGGGUUUCUUAAUUAGCUUGUUU
rnacentral:lncRNA from 1 species